rnacentral:lncRNA from 1 species
GAGAUGAAGUCAUGUACUUCUUCACGUGUUGCACACAUUCUUGAGGAACAACUCUGAACCCCCUAAUGUUGUUUAGUUCAACAUUUAUCCUCCAACUCUCACAGUAGCUCUUCAAGUUGUCUCCAACCACUUUCUCCCCCCAUCUUUGGUUCAGUAUAUUCCAUUCUGGACUCACUUCCUCAACCCUUUUUCCCCAUAGGUUCAGUAUGUUCCAUUCUGGACUCACCAGACCAAUGAAGAGGCCUAAUAUGAUCAGUGAGAGUGCC